UGUUGUGAAUUCAUGGUUGUUUAUGUUGAGUUAUGUGUUGGAUAUGAAUGGCUUGCAUUCCCUGAUGUUUAACAUGUUAUGUUGCUGCUAAAGGUGAAAUGUUAUGAUGUUUUGUUGUUUGAAAUGUGUGGAAAUAUGAAUGCAUAGCCUGAUGUUAUAUGAUAUAUGAAUGUUUGUUAUUUCUAAUGUGAUGAAUUUUUUAUGUAUGGACUGUUGUAUGAGCUGCUAUGAGGCUAUGAAUUUGUUGUCAUGGAUGUACAUGAAGAAUGGUUGUUAAUGUGAAUCAAAUAAUGCCAUGCUUGUUUGGUAAUGAUGCUAUGAAUUUUGGGUCAUGUGUGGUAUGUUUUAAUGGUGUUAAUGAUUCAUCAUUGCUUAGAAUAUUUUGCAGGGCUGAAACAUGUGUGCUUGCAUUGCAUUGACCAUGAUUGAAGCUUGGCAUGGAGGUUCAUGAUGGGAACUUAAAGAAAUCCAAAGGUUACCUGUUCAUGAAGAAAUGUGCUUGGUUAUGGAAUCAAAUGGAAAGAAAUAAAGAGAAUGAAGAAUCAAGGGUCAUUAGGGUUAGGGAUGUGGAAAUUAGGUUAGUUGACUCUUUAGUCAACUGGUUAACCAAAAAAUCAACAAUUGACCAAAAGUCAAUUGUAGGUCAAACUUUGAUUUUUUUUUGUAAUUUUUAUAUGGAACUUUGUAAAUAGUGAUUAUAUUAUAAAAUAGACAAUAUUUUGAAUGAGAUGGUCUUUUAUGAUUCAAAGAAA
rnacentral:lncRNA from 1 species